rnacentral:rRNA from 1 species
GAUGAACGCUAGCUACAGGCUUAACACAUGCAAGUCGCGGGGCAGCAUGGGGGUUGCUUGCAAUCCCCGAUGGCGACCGGCGCACGGGUGAGUAACGCGUAUCCAACCUGCCCUUCACCACGGGAUAACCCGGCGAAAGUCGGACUAAUACCGUAUGUUGUCCAUUGACGGCAUCCGAUUUGGACGAAAGGGUUGGCGGUGAAGGAUGGGGAUGCGUCCGAUUAGCCGGACGGCGGGGUGACGGCCCACCGUGGCGACGAUCGGUAGGGGUUCUGAGAGGAAGGUCCCCCACACUGGAACUGAGACACGGUCCAGACUCCUACGGGAGGCAGCAGUGAGGAAUAUUGGUCAAUGGGCGUAAGCCUGAACCAGCCAAGUAGCGUGCAGGAUGACGGCCCUAUGGGUUGUAAACUGCUUUUAUGCGGGGAUAAAGUGGCCCACGUGUGGGUUUUUGCAGGUACCGCAUGAAUAAGGACCGGCUAAUUCCGUG